GGCAACCUGUGCCAGGGCAUCACCACUCUCAGAGUUUAUCCAGAUAUUUCAGAAGAGGUCAUCUAAGAGUUACUUGACUGAAGCACAGCAUGUUGGCAGUGUGAAAUGACACCUUAAAUCAAUUACUUAUCAUUUGAAAUCUCCCAGGGAAAACAGCACUGUGUAGAAAGAACAAGAAACAACCAAUUAAACUUCAGGAGGGGUGCAGAGGAAUGGCCUGCCUGCCUUUCACUAGGGAGGAUAUCUCUCCAUGUGGUGCUGUGCUGCAUAAUUGUCAGAUGAGCACUGCUGCGACAAAGCCACUUGGAAAAAACAGCUUGGAUCCUUCUUUGAGCUCACUGAUGUCUCCCUGUGUCUGUAACGCCAAUACCCUCGUGUCUCCAGAGACUGAGGCCCCCUUUGCCAGAGAUCUGCUGUCCAAACCAGCAUGCUGUGUUAUGCCAAUCCAGUGCCUUGUCAGCAUGGCAGACAGCUGUAGUUAGAAUACAAGGCUUUUGUGUUCCACCCACCCCCUCAUCUCUCAGGUUUUAUUCCACUUCUUUGAGCAGUGGACACAUUCUUGCCAGUCUCAGUGUUUUAAUUUAAUUUGGGCACAGACUAUAUAAAAUUGAACAGAUGUCUGAAAGCAGUGGAGAGAAGACCAUAAAAUGAAACACGUGCUCAGCUCCAUUUGAAACAAGCAAUGCUGUAUUUUUUUUGUCCCCAUUGCCACAAAAGUCACACAUGACUUGGAGGUGUGUGACAAGAGGAUCCAACAGGGGAAGAGGAGGGAUUUUUUGCAGAGAUCUAAAAGUGGAAAACAUUUUUGUUAAAAGCAGUGACAUCAAUGAAGUAAAUUAAGUGGGAUUAAACAUAAAGCCCAUGAAGUUAUCAGUGCCUGUGACUACAGCCAACAGUGUGACAUUUGGAGCACAGGUGUCAUUAUGUACAUGCUAAGGCUUGGAAGAAAAGCUUUUAAAAUAAUAAGAAGGGAAGACCUCUGCUUUGAAAAAUUUGGUCUGGGAAAUAGUUACCAAGGCUGAUCAGAACAAAGUCAAGCCUGUUGAGGAGAAUAAAAGUUCUCCACUUGUCGGAAGUGUAUUUCCUGCAUCCUCAGUUUCAACAGAAGUAGAAAUUAAUUUUAGUGUAUAAAUUCAUAUGAGAGAAAGUGGAAAUGUGUGACAUCAUAUACACCAGAAAGGUCCUUGCUGCCUGACUAGACCUCUGUGUGUAGUACAAUGUAAUAAAUACUCAGUUGUUGAGAAAGAAAGAAUUUGCCUCACAGGACUUACGGGGAAUUUAUGAGUGUCUGUGUGCUUCCUUUUGAUUCCUCAAGGCCAGAUGGAAGUGCUGGAGACCUGUAAUAGGGGAUGGCCAGAAGGGCAGCCUGUGGGCUUGCAGAGUGGGAUGCUGACCUGUGCUGGUGUCCUCUAGGCCCUGUGUUUAAAUGACGUUGCUCAUUCAGGUCUGGUGAGAAGGAUGUGGGAGUACAUCAGUGGAGAAAGACAUGGUCAUGAAAACUCAAGGCUGGAGAAAUUUCUCUGUGUCGGACUGCAGAGUUACACUCCCCACAGCCUGAAGGAAUGAACUUCCAGGAGGAAAAAUGGUCCACAUCACUCAAGUAGCACAUGGGCAGUCAUGCCUUAGUAACAGUCAGGAGAACCAACUCAAGACAGACACAUUUCCAUCAUGAACAGAGCCUUGUCAAGCCCCUCUGCCAACAGGCACUCCACACUUCAUCAGGCAGUUUUUCUCAGGGAUUCUGAGAAAAUUCUCAGGGAUUCUGAGAAGAUUCAAACAGAACUUUGCUGUCUCUUAACACCUCUAGCUGCAGAUCUGUGUAUUACUGCAGAAGCAUCCCACUGGGAAAAGGCUGCAUAAGUUCUGGCCACCGUGUAAAUCCCACGCUGACGACUCACUUGGAAAGAAGAAAAGACACAAAAUGUUGUGCUGGCUCUCUAAGUGAAGGAAAGUUGAUGCUUGGAAGAACCUCAGCUAAAACUCCCAAAGAGGAGACCUUCCCAAUUUUAACAGGAAAGUGCAUAGGAAUGGAGAUCAAUUUAAGCUGUGCUGUGCAAAGAGGGGAGAAAUCUGGUGAUGGUCCUACAAAUGUCACUGACAAGGAAAAGAGAAGGCUAAAGGCUCUGCUGGAGUGACUCCAUUGACUCCCAUGGCUGUCGUGGGCUUCAAUUUGCAAAACAGACUGAAGAGGAGAAAACCCUUCCUCCACCUCUCUCCCCUGCAAUUCUUGAAAGUGACAUCUGUGCAGUGCUGCAGGAAAGAUUACACAUCUUAGUCUUUUUUUUUUUUUUUACCGUGCCACUCCCAAUUUACUCAUGCCCACUAUCAUAAUAUUAAUUUUGAGCAGGGAGGAGUAAGGAGUACUCCCCUGGGCCAGCAUGGUUCUCCAGGCGGGGAGCAGGGGGGCCGAGGUCGCUGUGGCUCCAAGGGGCCCAGAUCUGCCUUUGCCACCCAGGACCCAGGGCAUCUGUCCCGGGAGCCUGUUCAGAGCAGCCCCUGCUCGUCCCUCAGCAUCCCAGCGUGGCACCGCUCUGUCUUGCCAGCACUCCUCCUUCCCACCCCCCUGCCUCACCUCCCCCGGACCCACUUCCCUUCUCGAAAAAUCCAUCCAUUUAUUUCCAAUUACAAACCACACCACAUAACACAAACAUAAUUGCUUAAAAGUUGUUCCACAUUUGAUUCACAUGCAUUAUGCAUCCUGUAAAUUAUGUACGACCUCCUCUUUUUUUUUUCUUUUUUUUUUGAGAAGUAUUAUUGUAGUUCCUCUCUUGAUAUAAGGAUAGUUUUUACAGUUAGAAUCAAAACCUAAUUCAUUUACAAUACCUGUCUCCUGAGGAUCACAACAUAAUGACAUUGGAACAGUAAAAAGACUACACAGGGUUUUCACUUCAAUCACAGCUGUUCUAUAAAGAAAAGAAACUUACAGAAACCACCAAGAGAGAUGGUGAUUUAUAUCCAGUAGGAUACAAUAUAGCUGAAGAUGACUUUCUUGCUUAAACAAGGAGGGAAAAAAUGAACUCAUAUGUAUGAUGUAAAUAGACUUAACCAUGGGUGGCUGUGGUUUACUAUAAAUAUUCAAUUCAUUAUGGCUGCAGAGACGUACAGCUCCUACUGCGUGCUGGUGUUCUCGCCUGUAUCUGUCACUUGCUUCUGUUUGUCAUAAGCCAGAACCCUCUUUAUGGUGACCCCCCCCUUUUAUUUUUUUUUUCCUAGUUGUCCAGGAGUCAACACAUUCGGGGUUUUUUUUUUUCCUUAAAGCUUUGGACCUCUUAAUGGUAAAGAUCUCAUUGAAGGAGGUUUUUCAGCAAUGGAAAAAAACCAUGGGCCUGUGAGUUUGGAUCCCGUGAUGCAUCGCUCCUUGAAGUUACAUCUGCUCUUCUCUUUCAUCUCUCCUCUUGUUAACUGGGAGCUGUCACAUUAGGAGUUUUGGUGGAAGUGGCAUAAAGGAAGGAAAGAGAGACUGAUACACUGUGUCAUGACAAAACAGGCAGAGUAAGAGUGCCUUUGCAGUCACCUAUCAUCCAUGGACUACAUGCUGCUGGCCCAAAGCAUCAGGCCCUCUGGAAGUAUUCUGCGCAUGAAAAGUUGAACUGGAGCAAAAUCAAGACUUGAAGUCCCCUGUGUGGAAAAACAGGUGAAAAAAAGGGCUGCUGAAUUGUGGUAUGAGGUCAGGCCCAUGGUCACUCUCUUCUGACACCAGCAAG